GUUCUGACCUUCUCUGUUCGAAGGAGUUGCAUGGACCCUCGCGAUUGGCUGAAAGCUGUUCGGAAGGUUUUCAGAUUUCAGUAAGGCUACAGCACUGCCUCAAGUCAGUUCCGUUCGGUUAUCUUGUGUGUGCAUAAUAUUGUGACAUCGUGACUGCAAAUGGGAAUUAUUAUGGGCAUUGUAAUGAUGUAGUGAGAUAGACUUGUGGAUUUUAUUCGUUGUGAAGCAGAGUUUAAUGUCUCCAUGGAAUUUGCGAUUUAUUCAAGUUAUCCAGUGGUACGUUGCCCGUCAGAGGAACGUCAAGUUGCUGCUCUCCUGAGGCCUCUUUUGGGAAGUUCAUAAGUAAAUGAGAGGACGCGGUAAUAUAGGACUGAAGCUGUUGAAGGGCACUGAAUUCUUAUCCCCUUGGAGGAAAAUGUGCUUCGUUUAUCAAGAGUUAAGUAAAGAUUACCGAUCCUAGAUUGAGAGUACUCACUUCCAUGGAAGACAAGCAAAGUACGUCAAUCAGCCAUCCUUCGGCAAAUGUUGGUUCGCAACAAAAUGCUUCGGCAAAUGUUGGUUGCAACAAAAUGCUUCGGCAAAUGUUGGUUCGCAACAAAAUGCUUCGGCAAAUGUUGGUUCCGCAACAAACUGCUUCGGCAAAUGUUGGUUCGCAACAAAAUCAAUAACCCCAAAAAUAAAGCAGAGCAGGAGGAAUCUGCGGACUGUAGGCGAAGUGAAAUUGAAAGAAAUUCAGAGCAAAAAAACUGCAGAUUGUAGUAGUCUCUUAUUUUUCCUAGUGAAUUACGGGACUGGUCUAUAAUGUCCACCCUUCUCUGAUCAUCAUCAUCACAAUAAAAUUUGUGGUGCAAUUCUAGAGAUUCAGGUUAAAUUAAAUAUUCUUUGAUUAAAAAAAAUCUUACAAGAAUUUUGAAUAAAAGUUUCUUUUGUUCGAUAA